rnacentral:rRNA from 1 species
AGUGAACGCUGGCGGUAGGCCUAACACAUGCAAGUCGAACGGCAGCACAGGAUAGCUUGCUCUCUGGGUGGCGAGUGGCGGACGGGUGAGGAAUACAUCGGAAUCUGCCCAGUCGUGGGGGAUACCGUAGGGAAACUUACGCUAAUACCGCUUACGACCUUCGGGUGAAAGAGGGGGAUCGCAAGACCUCUCGCGAUUGGAUGAGCCGAUGUCGGAUUAGCUAGUUGGCGGGGUAAUGGCCCACCAAGGCGACGAUCCGUAGCUGGUCUGAGAGGAUGAUCAGCCAAACUGGAACUGAGACACGGUCAAGACUCCUACGGGAGGAAGCAGUGGGGAAUAUUGGACAAUGGGCGCAAGCCUGAUCCAGACAUACCGCGUGGGUGAAGAAGGCCUUCGGGUUGUAAAGCCCUUUUGUUGGGAAAGAAAUCGUUCAGGCUAAUACCCUGGGAGGAUGACGGUACCCAAAGAAUAAGCAACGGCUAACUUCGUG